CGGUCCGGGUAGGGACUGAGCGACGUGAGGCAUCGACCGCGGCCUAGUAGGCCGGGAUCGGGUCUUACAAAAACCCUUCAAGAUCUUAUUGACCUCUGAAACAGUAACGGUUUCAUCAUCUUCUUCCUAUUUGUCGUCCUCAUACCGACACAGUUCGUUCAAGCUAGGGAAGAAGAACCGGCCCAAUUUCAUACGACGCCAUAGACGCCAGCAUCCCAGCACCCUUCGGAUUCUUUUCCCCGACUAAUUCCUCUAGUCUGUUGAUUAGUCUUGUUAAACAUGAUUUCAACUAUCUCUUGUCAAGAAAAAUAUGACUGAAGAGAAAGUUAAGAAGACAAUGAAGAGAUCGGCAGAUUUGAUCGCCAUCAGAGAAGAGAAAGUUAAGGGGACAGAGAAGAGAUUGCCUGAUUUUGCGAGGAUCAGAGUAUCAAAGAAAGGAUUUAUAUUAGGUAAAAAUCAGGGAUUCGGAACGGUUGCAUGGGUCAGAUUGGAGCCGUAAAGAAGGGGGUUUAAUGAGAAAGAUUGGUGGAGACCGACGUUACAGAAGAGAAUCGGAAAUGGUGAUAAAUGUCUGCGUUUCUACGAUGGGUACGAAGCAGGUGAAGUUGAUGAGUCGCUUAGGGUUGAUAAUGUGUACAGAUUAGCCCACACGAAAGCCCGGUAACUUAGAAACUUGACUUGAUGCUUAAUGAAGAUGACGUGAAAAAACGGAGCCUCCCUAUUAGUUGAUUUUUUAAACCAACGUGGACACUCUCUAUGCGCAGCUUAUUUUCCUUUUAUUAUAGUUUAGAUCGGUCGCCGCCGCCUCAACCGAUUUCUGGAACAUUAAGUCAAACUACAGUACUUUUUUUUUCAUUUUACCACAUAUUACAAUCAUGAUAAAAUAAAGGAAAUAAUAGCUUCAUGAGUUGGUCUAGCGAUUACAGGUUUGAUUUGUUUUGGUGUUGUCCACAGUACUUCAGACUCAUUUAACGCUCUUGUAGUCUUAGUUUUUAAAGAGGCUAAUAUACACUAAUCAUUAUGUUAACUCUUCUAAUAUAGUGUGGUCGGUCACCAAAAUCUUUCAAUAUAAGUAAAAGUUAACUCUUCUAGGUUGCUCACAUGCAAAAUUUAGUUUCACUGAGGUGGAUUUCAUUCAAAACAGGUCCACUAAAAAAUACGGAAUCCCACAAAGCUGCUAGGCCUACCUCGAAAAAGGCAUACCUAACAACUGUACAAAUUACACAUGUGACAUGACAUUGUUGAUCAAACGCCUGAAGGAGAAGCACCCGCAUACCUGACCUCCAAAGAGAAACUUAGAGAGUGAAGAUUCACUUCACUAGGUUAAAUUUAUCGUAAGGUUUGAGCUCGCUUUCAACAAUUUAUGACCUCAUAUUAUCAUUGAAGUCUGAUCUUAGAUCUUCGGAGUCGUUUCCCAAACCCUCUUCAUUUUCAUUAGAAUUUGCAUUGUAUUUGUAACCCUAACCACUUUUGUAACCGUUCUAGAGUCACAAUUUCAAUAUAUUGAAAUAAUCUGGUCCAUAUGUCCCUAUAUCCUGAAGAUUAACCGCAUUCUAGGAGAAACCUAAAACUUUUCAUUUACUAGUCGCAUAAUCCGUUUCCCAGUGCACAACCCCAGAAAGAUCAACUCUAAACGGCUUGGUCUGUUUAACUUGUACCGAGAGGUGGUUUGAUUUUGAUCAACCCAGACAGCAUUAUGGUGAGCUAAUGAGAGUUUUUUUUCUGGUUGUAACACGUGGAGGAUUCCACGUAAGGAAUGGGAUCAACUGGAAAGGACAAGUUUUCUCAAAGAUGGCGGAACCACACUCAAAAAAAAGAAUGGAAGUACAUUAAGAAUGUCGUUGAAGCAGUAGCACGGCAGGGGACUGGGUGAACUGUGGAGAAAGGGCUCAGUUCAGAUGUGACAGAAGGCCUGGCCUUGGCGCCUUCAAGGAUUAUGCGAAAGCGGAUGGAUUCGAAUGUGUACCCAAACGGUAGCGUCUCUAAUUACAGGAACAAAUCGCAGAAGACCUCUAAUGGCUUGCUUGUCUCUUAGCUUCACGUUUCUUCUUUCAUUGUACCUUUUCUUUUUCUCUUUCUUUUUAAAAUGAUUGAUUCCUCCUCCUCUUACGAUUUUUUUUGCAGUGCACGUUUCAUU